CAUAGUAAAAUGGUAUUAUACGUCCAUAGCAUGGAUGAGGCCGGGGUUCGAUUCCCUGUG
rnacentral:tRNA from 1 species